rnacentral:rRNA from 1 species
ACCCUUAGAUGUUCUGGGCUGCACACGUGCUACACUGGCAGGUUCAGCGAGCUUCAUGCCCUGAUCUGAAAGGAAUGGGAAAUCUUUUCAAAACCUGCCGUGCUUGGGAUAGAUGUUUGCAAUUAUUCAUCUUCAACGAGGAUUGCCUUGUAAGCGCACGUCAUCAGCGUGCAUUGAAUACGACCCUGUAUUCUGUACACACCGCCCGUCACUCCUACCGAUUGAAGUUUUCGGUGAGUUGACAGGAGGAUUUUUUUGAAACUGGUUCGCCAGUGGAUUUUAGAUCCAAAUGCCAACGAAUCGAUGGCUUUAGAGGAAGGAGAAGUCGUAACA